rnacentral:rRNA from 1 species
GACGAACGCUGGCGGCGUGCCUAAUACAUGCAAGUUGAGCGAUGAAGAUUGGUGCUUGCACCAAUUUGCAGAGCAGCGCACGGGUGAGUAACGCGUGGGGAAUCUGCCUUUGAGCGGGGGACAACAUUUGGAAACGAAUGCUAAUACCGCAUAACAACUUUAAACAUAAGUUUUAAGUUUGAAAGAUGCAAUUGCAUCACUCAAAGAUGAUCCCGCGUUGUAUUAGCUAGUUGGUGAGGUAAAGGCUCACCAAGGCGAUGAUACAUAGCCGACCUGAGAGGGUGAUCGGCCACAUUGGGACUGAGACACGGCCCAAACUCCUACGGGAGGCAGCAGUAGGGAAUCUUCGGCAAUGGACGAAAGUCUGACCGAGCAACGCCGCGGGAGGGAAGAAGGUUGUCGGAUCGUAAAACUCGGUUGGUAGAGAAGAACGUUGGUGAGAGUGGAAAGCUCAUCAAGUGACGGUAACUACCCAGAAAGGGACGGCUAACUACGUG